rnacentral:tRNA from 1 species
CGGAUGUAGCCAAGUGGACCAAGGCCGNGNAUUUGGGACCCCCCCUGGCG